rnacentral:rRNA from 1 species
GUGGGGAAUAUUGCACAAUGGGCGAAAGCCUGAUGCAGCAACGCCGCGUGAAGGAUGAAGGGUUUCGGCUCGUAAACUUCUAUCAAUAGGGAAGAAACAAAUGACGGUACCUAAAUAAGAAGCCCCGGCUAACUACGUGCCAGCAGCCGCGGUAAUACGUAGGGGGCAAGCGUUAUCCGGAUUUACUGGGUGUAAAGAGCAUGUAGGCGGCUUAAUAAGUCGAGCGUGAAAAUGCGGGGCUCAACCCCGUAUGGCGCUGGAAACUGUUAGGCUUGAGUGCAGGAGAGGAAAGGGGAAUUCCCAGUGUAGCGGUGAAAUGCGUAGAUAUUGGGAGGAACACCAGUGGCGAAGGCGACUUACUGGACGAUAACUGACGUUGAGGCUCGAAAGCGUGGGGAGCAAACAGGAUUAGAAACCCCGGUAGUCC